rnacentral:rRNA from 1 species
GAUGAACGCUGGCGGCGUGCCUAAUACAUGCAAGUCGAGCGAACGGACGAGAAGCUUGCUUCUCUGAUGUUAGCGGCGGACGGGUGAGUAACACGUGGAUAACCUACCUAUAAGACUGGGAUAACUUCGGGAAACCGGAGCUAAUACCGGAUAAUAUUUUGAACCGCAUGGUUCAAAAGUGAAAGACGGUCUUGCUGUCACUUAUAGAUGGAUCCGCGCUGCAUUAGCUAGUUGGUAAGGUAACGGCUUACCAAGGCAACGAUGCAUAGCCGACCUGAGAGGGUGAUCGGCCACACUGGAACUGAGACACGGUCCAAACUCCUACGGGAGGCAGCAGGAGGGAAUCUUCCGCAAUGGGCGAAAGCCUGACGGAGCAACGCCGCGUGAGUGAUGAAGGUCUUCGGAUCGUAAAACUCUGUUAUUAGGGAAGAACAUAUGUGUAAGUAACUGUGCACAUCUUGACGGUACCUAAUCAGAAAGCCACGGCUAACUACGUG